AGAGAGAGGGAGAGAGAGAGAGAGAGAGAGAGAGAGAGUAUUCGGUAGAGUUUACAGCGUCGUAAUUUAUCGACGUCGAGGCUUCGAUCUGCUGCCUGUUGAUCGUGGGAGCCCAGUGUCCUUAACGGGGGCCGCCUCCUGGUGUAACUAUCAGCCGUGGGGCCAAGAAACGAGAGACGAUGCCUUCGAUACUUCGACGAUAUAAUCCGCUCUCGUUUUCCUUUGAUCCAUCUUCGACGAAUCGGUGAAACAGUUGGAACAGCCUUCUACUUCGUUGUCAAGUUCGCAAGAAUUAGAUCGCGAAGCAGUCGAAGCUUUUGGUACGCGUCGGAUCCGCGAUGUGGAUACGUAAGGGAUGAGGAGGAGGAUUCGUCCGGGGGAUUCGCAGGAUUACGUGCAGGAAAAAUGUGGCUCCAGGCCAGAAACGGAAUGUCGUUACGCUGGGGUAACGAUAGGUACGG
rnacentral:misc_RNA from 1 species